AACGAACGCUGGCGGCAUGCCUAACACAUGCAAGUCGAACGAAGGCUUCGGCCUUAGUGGCGCACGGGUGCGUAACGCGUGGGAAUCUGCCCUUGGGUUCGGAAUAACAGCGGGAAACUGCUGCUAAUACCGGAUGAUGACGUAAGUCCAAAGAUUUAUCGCCCAAGGAUGAGCCCGCGUAGGAUUAGCUAGUUGGUGGGGUAAAGGCCCACCAAGGCGACGAUCCUUAGCUGGUCUGAGAGGAUGAUCAGCCACACUGGGACUGAGACACGGCCCAGACUCCUACGGGAGGCAGCAGUGGGGAAUAUUGGACAAUGGGCGAAAGCCUGAUCCAGCAAUGCCGCGUGAGUGAUGAAGGCCUUAGGGUUGUAAAGCUCUUUUACCCGGGAUGAUAAUGACAGUACCGGGAGAAGAAGCUCCGGCUAACUCCGU
rnacentral:rRNA from 1 species